rnacentral:rRNA from 1 species
AGUGAACGCUGGCGGUAGGCCUAACAUAUGCAAGUCGAACGGCAGCACAGGAGAGCUUGCUCUCUGGGUGGCGAGUGGCGGACGGGUGAGGAAUACAUCGGAAUCUACUUUUUCGUGGGGGAUAACGUAGGGAAACUUACGCUAAUACCGCAUACGACCUACGGGUGAAAGCAGGGGAUCUUCGGACCUUGCGCGAUUGAAUGAGCCGAUGUCGGAUUAGCUAGUUGGCGGGGUAAAGGCCCACCGAGGCGACGAUCCGUAGCUGGUCUGAGAGGAUGAUCAGCCACACUGGAACUGAGACACGGUCCAGACUCCUACGGGAGGCAGCAGUGGGGAAUAUUGGACAAUGGGCGCAAGCCUGAUCCAGCCAUACCGCGUGGGUGAAGAAGGCCUUCGGGUUGUAAAGCCCUUUUGUUGGGAAAGAAAUCCAGCUGGCUAAUACCCGGUUGGGAUGACGGUACCCAAAGAAUAAGCACCGGCUAACUUCGUGCCAGCAGCCGCCGUAA